CAGUCGCCGCGGUAAUACGGAGGAUCCAAGCGUUAUCCGGAAUCAUUGGGUGUAAAGGGUCCGUAGGCGGUCUUGUAAGUCAGUGGUGAAAGCCCAUCGCUCAACGGUGGAACGGCCAUUGAUACUGCAGGACUUGAAUUAUUGGGAAGUAACUAGAAUAUGUAGUGUAGCGGUGAAAUGCUUAGAGAUUACAUGGAAUACCAAUUGCGAAGGCAGGUUACUACCAAUUGAUUGACGCUGAUGGACGAAAGCGUGGGUAGCGAACAGGAUUAGAUACCCCUGUAGUCCCUGUCUCUUAUAC
rnacentral:rRNA from 1 species